rnacentral:rRNA from 1 species
GGGGUCUGGCGGCGUGCUAUACAUGCAAGUCGAGCGAACAGACGAGGAGCUUGCUCCUCUGACGUUAGCGGCGGACGGGUGAGUAACACGUGGAUAACCUACCUAUAAGACUGGGAUAACUUCGGGAAACCGGAGCUAAUACCGGAUAAUAUAUUGAACCGCAUGGUUCAAUAGUGAAAGACGGUUUUGCUGUCACUUAUAGAUGGAUCCGCGCCGCAUUAGCUAGUUGGUAAGGUAACGGCUUACCAAGGCAACGAUGCGUAGCCGACCUGAGAGGGUGAUCGGCCACACUGGAACUGAGACACGGUCCAGACUCCUACGGGAGGCAGCAGUAGGGAAUCUUCCGCAAUGGGCGAAAGCCUGACGGAGCAACGCCGCGUGAGUGAUGAAGGUCUUCGGAUCGUAAAACUCUGUUAUUAGGGAAGAACAAAUGUGUAAGUAACUAUGCACGUCUUGACGGUACCUAAUCAGAAAGCCACGGCUAACUACGUGCCAGCAGCCGCGGUAAUACGUAGGUGGCAAGCGUUAUCCGGAAUUAUUGGGCGUAAAGCGCGCGUAGGCGGUUUUUUAAGUCUGAUGUGAAAGCCCACGGCUCAACCGUGGAGGGUCAAUGGAAACUGGAAAACUUGAAUGCAAAACA